rnacentral:rRNA from 1 species
AGGUCAAGUGAAGAAGGGCGCACGGUGAAUGCCUUGGCACUGGAAGCCGAUGAAGGACGCGACUAACCGCGAAAGUCUUCGGGGAGCCGUAAGUAGGCUUUGAUCCGGAGGUCUCCGAAUGGGGGAACCCAGCAUGUGCAGACAUGCUAUCCUUAAGUGAAUACAUAGCUUAAGGAGGGAACACGCAGUGAACUGAAACAUCUAAGUAGCUGCAGGAAGAGAAAGAAAUAUCGAUUUCCCAAGUAGCGGCGAGCGAACAGGAAAGAGCCCAAACCGGCAGAUUUAUCUGCCGGGGUUGUAGGACUGAGACAUGGCACUUCAGAGGAUAGCAGAAGCGUUUGGGAAAGCGCGCCAGAGAGGGUGAGAGCCCCGUAAGCGAAAUCCAAAGGAGGCCUAUCAGUAUCCUGAGUAGGGCGGGACACGUGAAAUCCCGUUUGAAUCCGCGAGGACCAUCUCGCAAGGCUAAAUACUAACCAGUGACCGAUAGUGAACCAGUACCGUGAGGGAAAGGUGAAAAGAACCCCGGGAGGGGAGUGAAAGAGAACCUGAAACCGUGUGCCUACAAGUAGUCAGAGCCCGUUAACGGGUAAUGGCGUGCCUUUUGUAGAAUGAACCGGCGAGUUGCGUUAGUCAGCAAGGUUAAGUCAGAAAAGACGGAGCCGUAGCGAAAGCGAGUCUGAAGAGGGCGAGCAGUUGGCUGACGCAGACCCGAAACCAAGUGACCUACCCAUGACCAGGUUGAAGGCGCGGUAAAACGCGCUGGAGGACCGAACCCACGUAAGUUGAAAAUUGCGGGGAUGAGUUGUGGGUAGCGGUGAAAUUCCAAACGAACUUGGAGAUAGCUGGUUCUCUCCGAAAUAGCUUUAGGGCUAGCCUCGCAAAGAGGAUGCUGGAGGUAGAGCUCUGUUUGGACUAGGGGCCCGUCAAGGGUUACUGAAUUCAGAUAAACUGCGAAUUCCAGACAUUUAUGUGCGGGAGUCAGACUGCGAGUGAUAAGAUCCGUAGUCGAAAGGGAAACAGCCCAGAUCACCAGUUAAGGUCCCAAAAUUCAUGCUAAGUGGAAAAGGAUGUGGAGUUGCGCAGACAACUAGGACGUUGGCUCAGAAGCAGCCAUCAUUCAAAGAGUGC